UUUCCCCACUGCAUCGGCUGGUUCCAUUAGGGCUCAGGUGUUCUGACUUAGAAACCUUCCUUCCACUGGUUUGGUGCAGUUCACCACAUUCCACAACGUGAGCAGAACGUUCUGACCCUGAUCUCUGACGGAGGACGUCCGUGUGCUGUGUGUCCCUAUGCUCUGCCUGCUACCUGCCCGUGGCAUCCCUGCCCAGUCGUGACCAACAAAAGCCUCUCCAGAUACUGUGAGAUGUCCCUGUUUGAGAACCACUGGUGUAGUGAAUGCCAGGUGGACCUGCAUCGGUACGGGAAGCAUGGGCGUGGCAGACCCCAAGGUUGAUGAUGACGUUGAUGAUGAUGGUGAUACCUGCUGAUGUUGGCCGAGUGUUGGUCUACGGCUGAGGCAGCUGAGAAAACCAUGCCAGUGAGCCUCCCCCAGGUGGGUGCUGGGCCCCAGCGUGUCCCGGGCGCUGUGAGCAGCACAGCCCUCCCGGAUCCACAGCUCCGCCGUCCCCAGGUCCGGUUACCCACAGUCCUGAAGCGCUGACCCCUUUCUGGCCAAUCCUGAGAAGGCCAAUGGCAGCCUAACUAUGUCGCGAUGCUGCGUCAUCCGCCUGACUUCAUCUCACCGCAUGGAGGUUUAUCAUAUCACAUCUUCACAAGAAGGGUACUGGUUAAACGCUGCCUGACAAUCCGUGUAAUGCUCACAGCAACCUGAUGAAGUUGUACAGAUGCGGCUCUGGAAAGAUGAGGGACCCACUGAGGCUCAAAG